rnacentral:rRNA from 2 species
UACAGAGGGUGCAAGCGUUAAUCGGAAUUACUGGGCGUAAAGCGUGCGUAGACGGUUAUUUAAGUCAGGUGUGAAAGCCCCGGGCUCAACCUGGGAAUUGCAUUUGAGACUGAAUAGCUAGGGUGCGGAAGAGGGAAGCGGAAUUUCCGGUGUAGCGGUGAAAUGCGUAGAUAUCGGAAGGAACACCAGUGGCGAAAGCGGCUUCCUGGUCCAGCACCGACGUUCAGGCACGAAAGCGUGGGGAGCAAACAGG